GCUGGGAUAGCUCAGUUGGUAGAGCUGAGGCUAUAAAUCUCCGGGUCAUAGGUUUGAGCCCCAUGUUGAGCA